UACAGAGGGUGCAAACGUUGUUCGGAAUUACUGGGCGUAAAGAGCUUGUAGGCGGUCUGUCGCGUCUGCUGUGAAAAUCCGGGGCUCAACCCCGGACUUGCAGUGGGUACGGGCAGACUAGAGUGUGGUAGGGGAGACUGGAAUUCCUGGUGUAGCGGUGAAAUGCGCAGAUAUCAGGAGGAACACCGAUGGCGAAGGCAGGUCUCUAGGCCUCUACUGACGCUGAGAAGCGAAAGCAUGGGGAGCGAACAGG
rnacentral:rRNA from 1 species